CACGUCACAGGGCUUUAGAUGUGAGUAGCUGCUCUGCUCUAUAUAAAAACAAAAUACUCAGAUUUGUCAAAUACACUUCGAUAUGUACACAUAUAUAUACACAAACAAUGGCUUCUGACUGUGCGCCUGUGGGUGUGUGUGAAUCAUCAAAUGCACGAAUAUUGUAUAAGAAGUUGUCAACGGCAAACAACUCUGGCAAAAAGGAAAAAAGGCUGUGGUUAAAGAAAAUGCAUUAACGGAGCUGCAAACGGCGCCCACUUGAGCCUAUCUGGCCGCCACUUAGAACAACCAGGCGGGAAUGCCCCUCAAGUGAUCUUGCUGCCACUUGGUUGGGCUUGAAAGCUGGCAAGUUGAAGUGAGGCGUGCAAAAAGUGGCCAAAGAAGCACUUGUCAAAUGGGCACACACAAACACUCUAUAAAGCAGGAAAACACCUCAUAGCCGAUGCUCGUCUAUAUAUAACUGCAUAGCAGGCGCGCCUGUGUGUGCGAGUGUGCGUGUGUAUCUGUGUGAUCAUAACAAUUUUGACCCAAUUUUGUAGCGAGGCACGAAACAUGAAACACAAAGAAGAUCAAGCGAGCGAGUGAUUUCUGUUUAGGAUAGACAACAACUCCUGCCCCUCCUCCUGCUGCUGCUUCUGCGCCCGUGUCAUCACUGACCUCAGUGCAACUGUAAAACGAUGGGCAAUGAGCCGGAAACGUGGGACAGGUGUGCCAUAAGUUUUCGAUAAAUGUUGGAUACUAUCACAAAAGUGUAUUUACCAAUUUAUUUGAGCAUACGAUUGUUGUGUACCUCGAUUUUGAUAAAAUAGUCUUGUGCUAACUAUU